rnacentral:misc_RNA from 1 species
GCUCAGGACACACUCUGCGACGAUGCUGGUCGGCAUUACUUCAAAGAUUGCUACAUUGAGGGUUCUAUAGACUUCAUAUUUGGUAAUGGCAGAUCACUAUACAAGAAUUGCUUGCUGCAUUCAAUUGCCAACCGGUUCGGUUCAAUUGCGGCUCAGGACCGGAACUCACCGUGUGAGCGCACCGGCUUUUCGUUUGUGGGCUGCAGAGUGACGGGCUCGGGCAAGUUGUAUGUGGGUCGGGCGAUGGGACAGUAUUCGAGGAUCAUCUUUGCCUACACUUACUUUGAGG